CUCCCCCGAUUCAGAUCGAUGCCGCGGCCGCAUGUCCCCCUCCCCGCCUCCCAACCCCCUCGUCGCCACCUCUCCAACCUCGCUGUCGCCUCCUCCUUCCCCCAUAGCACCGCCCAGUCCCUCGUGCUCGGGCCCGACGAGGUCGCGAGCGCGCUGACCGGCAUGCCCGUCUUCACCGUAUGCAACCAGCCGGCGCUAGGAUUUCGGGCUGGCGUCGCCAGCGGCCACUCCGCUCUUCUUCGACAGGAUCCGCCACCCUCACCUCACCUCUGUCUCUCAGCCCGCCUCAUCGACAUGGCACAGCCACGCAACGACAGAGGAGGCUAGGGUUUCUGGUCCAUCCCUCUUAUUUGCCAUGACCCUCUCCCUCCUCCUCACCUUGUCUCUUCUACCUUGCAGAUCCACCACGCCAUGGGCCAGAUCAAGCCCUGAUGCCAUGGUCUUCCUCUGCCCACUCAAGUGCUACUCAAGGUCAAGCAGCCGACACCAUCAAGGAACAGUAGGUCUUCUCUUCUCUUCAUCAACCAGAGGGCGAGGCCGGUGAUGUCCGUGCGGUGAUGUCCCUGGGGUGGCGCAACCAUGCCCGGCGCUUGCCCUGGUCGUCAUGGUGGUGCUUCGGUGGCUUCCAGACCCUCUACUGGAUGUGGUGAUGGUCACACCACAGCCGUGGUGUGGCUGAGCCUCUGCUACGGCUACAACCUCCCUCUGGUGAGCUCCUCCCAGUUCCUUCUUCUCUGAUGUAGCUCCUGGAUGGCCUUGGCCAUGAUUUGGGUUGGAUAUGGGGCUCUACUAGUUGCUGCUAGAUGUUGUAACCAAGCAUCAACUCCUACUGGAGCUCUCUGGUGAUAAAUUCACACUACAAAAAAAAAUACACUUCCGUGAUGAUACGUGUUUGUCACAGUA